rnacentral:rRNA from 1 species
UGGGGGGGGGCCCUAACAAUGCAAGUCGAGCGGAUGAAGGGAGCUUGCUUCCUGAUUCAGCGGCGGACGGGUGAGUAAUGCCUAGGAAUCUGCCUGGUAGUGGGGGACAACGUCUCGAAAGGGACGCUAAUACCGCAUACGUCCUACGGGAGAAAGUGGGGGCUCUUCGGACCUCACGCUAUCAGAUGAGCCUAGGUCGGAUUAGCUAGUUGGUGGGGUAAUGGCUCACCAAGGCGACGAUCCGUAACUGGUCUGAGAGGAUGAUCAGUCACACUGGAACUGAGACACGGUCCAGACUCCUACGGGAGGCAGCAGUGGGGAAUAUUGGACAAUGGGCGAAAGCCUGAUCCAGCCAUGCCGCGUGUGUGAAGAAGGUCUUCGGAUUGUAAAGCACUUUAAGUUGGGAGGAAGGGCAUUAACCUAAUACGUUGGUGUUUUGACGUUACCGACAGAAUAAGCACCGGCUAACUCUGUGCCAGCAGCCGCGGUAAUACAGAGGGUGCAAGCGUUAAUCGGAAUUACUGGGCGUAAAGCGCGCGUAGGUGGUUUGUCAAGUUGGAUGUGAAAGCCCCGGGCUCAACCUGGGAACUGCAUCCAAAACUGGCAGGCUAGAGUAUGGUAGAGGGUGGUGGAAUUUCCUGUGUAGCGGUGAAAUGCGUAGAUAUAGGAAGGAACACCAGUGGCGAAGGCGACCACCUGGGACUGAUACUGACACUGAGGUGCGAAAGCGUGGGGAGCAAACAGGAUUAGAUACCCUGGUAGUCCACGCCGUAAACGAUGUCACCUAGCCCGUUGGGGAGCCCUGAGCCUCUUAGUUGCGCAGCUAACGCCAUUAAGUUUGACCGCCCUGGGGGGAGGUUACCGGGUC